rnacentral:sRNA from 1 species
CACCACGUCAGGCCCUCCGACGUUCGGC